AAAAGGAAAGCACCAGAUUAACAAUCUUGAAAUGUGCACAACGUAUUUACCUUAAAAGAAGAAAAUAAACAAGCAAAAUAAAACAAGUUAUUCAAGGGAAUGAUUCCAAACCUGACAUAUAUUUUCUGGAGAUAUCUGUGAAUGAACUUCAAUGAAAGUAACUGAUUUUUUCUCAUUAACAAUUUUUCUCUUGGUGACAUGAACUAUAAUGAAAGUAACUUACUGCUAACAAAAAGCUCAGAGCUGAAUCCCCUGGAGAAAGCAGGCCUAUUUGACAACACAAAUGGUUUAGCCCACCUGCUUACAAUCUUUGUUCUCCCCAGAGAGAAACCCAUAUGAGAGAAACCAGAACCUUCAGCUCAAUAACCCAUGAUCCAAACUUUUCUUUGUUGCAAAUAAAGGGAAAAGGUCUAGGGUUUUAAAAUUUUUUGCGUAAGGAAAAUUAGAUUUGAGAGAUUCCAUAACUAGGGUUCUAAAGUGCAUGUGGAUUUAUUUGGAAUGAUAUAUGGCUUAAGCAUGGCUCUUCCAAUUUAAUUAAGGGAAAAUUCGUGGUUUUUGCACCAGAGAAUUAGGGCCGGUAUUUUUCUAGUGAAAGGAAAAUGAGUUUUGAGGUUGUGUGGAUUUCUUCUCCACGAGUUCUCUAGAGAGUGAGUAGCAGGUGGGUGGAGAAUGUGUAAAAUGGCCUGGGAUUCUCUCGUUGUGACCUGUCGAGUUCUCUAGAGAGUGAGUUGGUGGGUGGAGAAGGUGUGAAAUGGCCUGCACAGAGAUGCAACUCUCCUCCGCGAUCUGUUCCUCUCGCUACCCAUUUUUUAUUCUCUCAUGCGGUUUUCUAAAAAAAUUUUCCCACGUCCAAGGAUACGAAAUGUACGGUUUUUU
rnacentral:lncRNA from 1 species